rnacentral:snRNA from 1 species
AGCUUUGUGCAGUGGCAAUAUUGUUAGCCAAUGAGGUUUAUCCAAGGCACGAUUAUUGCUAAUUGAAAGAAAAAGAUAUGACAGUCGCCAACACAAACAAUAGCUGUCUGGUGUGAAUGAAUCAAAAUGAUACCAACUUUCUUGUCAGAUUGGCAAAAAAUAUAUAUUU